rnacentral:rRNA from 1 species
AACGAACGCUGGCGGCAGGCCUAACACAUGCAAGUCGAACGUCAAGCCACCUUCGGGUGGUGGAAAGUGGCAGACGGGUAAGUAACGCGUGGGAACGGGCCUUUCUGUUAGGGAUAACCCCGGGAAACUUGGGCUAAUACCGGAUAAGCCCUCCGGGGGAAAGAUUCAUUGACGAAAGAUCGGCCAGCGUAGGAUUAGCUAGUUGGUGGGGUAAAAGCCUACCACGGCGACGAGACGUAGCUGGUCUGAGAGGAGGACCGGCCACACUGAGAGUGAGACACGGCCCAGAGUCCUACGGGAGGCAGCAGUGGGGAAUAUUGGACAAUGGGCGCAAGCAUGAUCCAGCCAUGGCGCGUGGGUGAAGAAGGCCCUAGGGUUGUAAACCCCUUUCAGCGGGGAAGAUAAUGCCGGGACCCGAAGAAGAAGCCCCAGCUAACUCCGUGCCAGCCGCCGCGGUAAUAC